rnacentral:ncRNA from 1 species
GUUAUCAAGAGUGGACGAGAGAAUCGGCUCUAAGACUCCACAGCAACCUAUUUGUUUAGGUGCUAAUACCGACAGAGCAAAGAGCUUUGAAUGAUGA